rnacentral:rRNA from 1 species
CCCUUAGAUGUUCUGGGCUGCACGCGCGCUACACUGAAGCGUUCAACGAGUAUUCACCUUGCCCGGGAGGGUUGGGUAAUCUUUUGAAAACGCUUCGUGAUGGGGAUAGAUUAUUGCAAUUAUUAAUCUUCAACGAGGAAUUCCUAGUAAGCGCGAGUCAUCAGCUCGUGCUGAUUACGUCCCUGCCCUUUGUACACACCGCCCGUCGCACCUACCGAUUGAAUGGUCCGGUGAAAUCUUCGGAUCUGAGAGAUGUCUGAUUAAUUUCGGACGCCUUUUGGAAAAGUUGCUUAAACCUUACCAUUUAGAGGAAGGUGAAGUCGUANCA